CUGUGAUGUGUGCAUUGCAUUGCGAUGGGUUACAUCACUGGUCAUAGCAUGAUGUAACCCAACGCAGCAUGGUGUAAGCAUCGUAA
ensembl:miRNA aca-mir-1397 aca-mir-1397